rnacentral:rRNA from 1 species
UGGGGAAUUUUGGACAAUGGGGGCAACCCUGAUCCAGCAAUGCCGCGUGAGUGAAGAAGGCCUUCGGGUUGUAAAGCUCUUUUGUCAGGGAAGAAACGGUAGUAGCGAAUAACUAUUACUAAUGACGGUACCUGAAGAAUAAGCACCGGCUAACUACGUGCCAGCAGCCGCGGUAAUACGUAGGGUGCAAGCGUUAAUCGGAAUUACUGGGCGUAAAGCGUGCGCAGGCGGUUGUGUAAGUCAGAUGUGAAAUCCCCGUGCUCAACCUGGGAAUUGCAUUUGAGACUGCACGGCUAGAGUGUGUCAGAGGGGGGUAGAAUUCCACGUGUAGCAGUGAAAUGCGUAGAUAUGUGGAGGAAUACCGAUGGCGAAGGCAGCCCCCUGGGAUAACACUGACGCUCAUGCACGAAAGCGUGGGGAGCAAACAGGAUUAGAUACCCACGUAGUCCCUGAGCGGGCUGGCAAGGCGCAU